UGUUGAUGGAUAUCUAACCACUGAGGGCGUGGCUUGUCUAUAUCUGAUGCUUAGUGUAACAAUUUAUUUUAAUAUUUUGCAGACAGGAGGAAGCCUCUGCCUUUAACAAAAUAUCUUGGAUAACUGCAUGGAAAUGGGACUGCCCACUAAUCCCCUUCCUCCAGUGGAUCUUGAAUAUCACCCCAGGAUUUACAGAGAUUCCAAAUCAUACAGCAAGGAGAAGAAAUAUCAGAAUACACAGUCAACAGAAGCAGAAAAUGCUGUCUUUAUGAAACGAGCUUUCAGCCUACUGUGUUUCUUAAGUCACUGCUUCUGAAGAUUUGUGAAAUUCCACUUACUUGACUGAAAGGGUAAGCAGCCG
rnacentral:lncRNA from 1 species